rnacentral:rRNA from 1 species
AGAGUUUGAUCCUGGCUCAGGAUGAACGCUAGCUACAGGCUUAACACAUGCAAGUCGAGGGGCAGCAUGGUCUUAGCUUGCUAAGGCCGAUGGCGACCGGCGCACGGGUGAGUAACACGUAUCCAACCUGCCGUCUACUCUUGGACAGCCUUCUGAAAGGAAGAUCAAUACAAGAUGGCAUCAUGAGUCCGCAUGUUCACAUGAUUAAAGGUAUUCCGG